ACAACGAUACAGAUAGCUCGGCUAUUAGAGUACUCUGAAGCGAGUGGAUCGGGAAUGCCAACUCCUACAGCAAUUGACAUUGUACGAGGGAUUCGCAGCUCGCAAAUGGGUAAACCCUUGUCUUUUGUUCCUCCAAUUGAUAGAGAUGGUAAACGAGUUGUUACUGAAUGAGGGGGAUUUACAAUCUCAGGCAGAUUAUUGAAAAACCUCUCUAAUUGGGUACAUAAUUGGAGAAAAUCCUUAUGAAAAGGCUAUGGAGAAUUUUUUUUUUGAAUGUGUGGAAUUUUAUUACUAAACCUCAAGUAGUAAUCUAUUUUGAGGGAUAAUCUUCAAAUUUCACACCAUAGCUGAUAAGGACCAAGUUCUCCAGUCAGGGCCAUAUACAUAUAGGAUAAACCAAUGUUGCUAAGGCUAUAGAAAAUUGAUUUCUCAUUUAGCGAAAACAUAAUAAGCAUAAUGCAAGUUUGGGUGAGAUUCCCUGGGCUAAUAGUAGGAUAUUGAUCGAUUGAGGCUCUACGCAAAAUGGCUAGUGUGGUGGGCAAGCCCCUAUACACUGAUAAAUUUAUUGCUUAUUAUGAGAAGAUAUCCUAUGCUAGGGUUCUUGUGGAGGUAGAUGUUGCAUAUCCUCUUUCAGCCCAGAUGGAAAUAGAAUCACAUUUUGGCCCAAUGGUUUAGACUAUUGAAUAUGAUUGGAGGCCUGUGUUCUAUAAUGACUAUUUGAAAUUUGCUCUUGAUUCUUUUGACGGCUGGCAAAACAAAAGCUGUAAUGAAAAGGAGGACAACCAUGAAAGGGGAAAGCCAAGAAGGAAGAGAAGAAGAGCAAAGAAGAUAGCUAGGACCGUGAAGCAAACAUGGAUGGUGAAAAAGCAGAAGUAAAUGCUGAAAUAGAGCCAGAACCACAGAGGAAGGAAGCCCUGCAAGCAGAACCUACUUAUGUGCCUGAUUGCACUGAGAUGGUUAGGAAGAGUAUAGAGCCUGUAAAGAAAAAUACUCAUAUGCCAUGUCAGACUAAAGAAGGGGUCAACCUGCAGAAUGUCACAUGCUGCAAUCCUGUGAGUGGAAUGCUAGCUUGCAACCAUAAAAGGAAGGCAGCUGUUGAGCUAAGGUAUGAGGGAAGAGGAGGGCAACAGGAGGAUCCAGGUCCAACAUGCUCUCCAAAUCACAACCCUAAAUAAUCAUUGCCACUUGGAAUAUUAGGGGCCUGAAUCAGGACCAUAAGUAGAAGGAGGUAAAGACCUUUCUGUCUAAAAUAAGGUAGAUAUAAUGGGGUGCAUUGAAACCGCAGUAAAAGAACAUAUGGCUAAAAAAUACAAAAAAGAUAUCUUAGGGGUGGAAUGUUUACUACAAUUAUCCUUGUGCUGUAAUUGGUCAAAUUUGGAUUCUAUGGAGAGCACAUAUACAACGUCAGAUUAUUCAAACUAUAGAUCAAUAUAUCUAUUGUCUAGUGGAGGAUACGAGAACUCAAAUUACCACAUAUCUAAGUAUCAUAUAUGCCCAUAAUGAUGGUCAUCAAAGGAAGAUUUUAUGGAGGGAUCUUAAACAGAUAAAUAUGCAGGCUCAGUUGCCAUGGCUGCUUAGUGGAGAUUUGAACAGUGUUCUAUCUUCUGAGGAUAGAAUAGGGUCCCACGUAACCAUUGUUGAAGCAAAGGGAUUCAAAGAUGUGAUUGAUUUUCUACAGUUUACUCCUCUUAGAGCUAAAGGAUGGCAUUUCAUUCGGACAAACAAACAAGGUACUAGUUCAAGAGUAUAUAGCAAGAUAGAUUGGGUUUUGGGGAACUAUCAAUAAAUACAACAAUAUGGUCACGAGGAGACAAAUUUCUUGAAUACUUCAGUCUUUAAUCACUCCCCUAUCCUAAUAAAAUAUGGUGGGCAAAAAUUAUUACAUCCUAAACUACUUAGACUAUACACAAAUUCCAUGAAACUUCCAACAUUCCAGAAUAUUGUUCAGCAUGUUUGGACUCAGAAUUGUGAUUGCUCAUCUAUGCAACAGGUCUGGUGCAACCUAAAAGCUAUGAAGAUGCAGCUGCAAGAUUUUAAUGCUUAUAUGGCUUCAUACAAACAAAUAAUUGAGCAGGCAAGAGAGAGAUUGGUUAUUAUUGGGGACUAGUUCAGCAGGAUCCUUGUAACGACUCGGACGGUCGUUUCGAGAGUUUAGCCAUGUUCCCCUGUUUUCCUGCUUCUUUUGUAUUCUACAACUAUAUUAUGACUUACCGGGAUAAUUGGUUCGAGUAUGGAGUAAUUUCAGAGUGAAUUGAGACACUUAGUCUUUUAAUUGGAAGCUUAAGUUGGAAAAAGUCGACUAGAUAUCGACUUAUGUGUAAACAACUUUGUAUUUGAAUUUAGAUGGUUCCGUUAGCUCCGUUAGGUAAUUUUAGACUUAGGAGAACAUUCGGAAUAUGAUUUGGAGGUCCGUAGCAGAAUUAGGCUUGAAUAGGCGAAAGAUGGAAUUUUGGCGAAUUUGACCGGUAGUGGAAAUUCUAAUAUCGGGGUUGGAUUUGAUUUUCGGGAAUUGGAGUAGGUUUAUAGUAUUAUUUAUGAAGUGUGUGCAAUAUUUGAGGUCAAUCGGACAUGGUUUGAUAGGUUUCGACUUCGUUUGAAGAAUUUGAAAAUUUAGAAGUUCAUUAGGCUUGAAUCCGAGUGUAAUCCAUGUUGUUCAUAUUAUUUGAGGUGAUUUAAGGAUUCGACUAAGUUCAUAUCGGGUUAUAAGACUUGUUGGUAUGUUUGGUUGAGGUCCCGGAGGCCUCGAGGUGAUUUCUGGUGGUUAACGGACUUGAUUUUUGAGUUGAUGAAGCAGCUGAAGUGUUGAUGCUACUGGUGUAACUACACCUGCGGAGUGGGCAAUGCAGGUGCGAGUCCGCAGAAGCGUGGCAAGAAUCGCAGAUGCGACCAAGGAUGAGACAUGCAUAGUCCGGAGGUGCGAAGAUCUUCCCACACCUUCAAUGAUCGCAGAAGCGCGCACUAGGGCCCAAAUGCAAGCGUGAACCGCAUGUGCGAUUUAUUUCAUGCACCUGCAAUAAGCGCAGAUGUGGUCCAGUGAUCGCAGGAGUGGAGGCAGCUAGAUAAGUGACUUUUGCAGAAGUAGGAAUUUUUCCGUAGAUGUGGUUCUGUAGAUGCGGAUAUAGGGCCGCAUGUGCACAAAUCUUGGGCAGAACAUAUAAAUACGAGACUUCGAGAUUUUUCACCACUUUCAUAUUUUGGAAUCGAAUUUUGGAGGAAUUUGAGGUGGAUUUUGAAGUGAUUACUAAGGUAAGCUCCUUGUGCCUAUUUAUCUUCAAUAAUGGUAUUUACUCACUGAUUUUACAUCUAGUUGAUGAGUUUUUGAGGUGAAAUUUGGUAAUUUAAGGCUUAAGAAUUGGAGAGUGAAUUUUGGGGAUUUGGAGGUCCAAAUGGUGUCUGAUUUUGAUAAAUUUAUUAUGGUUAGACUUGUGAGUGAAUUGGCUUUCGGGUUUUGUGACUUUUGUCGGGUUUUAUGAUGUGAGACCGGUUUGGGUUAAGCCAAUUUUGGAUUUUUGGCUCUAAUUUAGUAGUUUUCUUGUGGAUUUGAUCCCUUUAGCCUAUAUUAAUUAUAUUGUACUGCUUGUGUCUAGAUUCGUGAUAUUCGCAGACCGACGCACGAGGCAAGGGCAUUUUAGAGUAGAGUUUGCCUCGCACUGAGGUAAGUAGCAGUUAUAAAUUUGGUCCUUAGGGUACGAAACCCUGGAUUUUUGUGUCAUGUGAUUAUUUUGGAGGUGACGCACUUGCUAUGUGAUAGGCGUGUGGGCGUGCACUAAAGGGAUUAUGACUUGGUCUAUUCCGUGAGAAUGUAAAGUCGAAUAACUUACUGUUAACUACAUGAUCCCUUCGUUUUAUGGAAAUUUUGACUGAAAUUCAUGUUAAAAAUCAUGCUUAGGCCAUAUGAUAUCACUUUUGGGACUCGUUGAGGUCAUGCACUUGUUGAUUUAGCUACUAUUUGUUGUCUUGUAAUCAGUCAUGACGUUUACUACGUAUCAUACCUACAUAUCUUUUUGUUCCUUGUUGAUACAUGUUUUACUUCUGUUUGGGAUGAUUUCUAUGAUUUCUGAGAGACUGAGAGACUAGGGAGGUUAAUGACUGAGCAAGGCCGAGAGCCUGACGGUGAGAUAUUGAUACCAUAGCAUGUGAGUUGUCUGUGUAGCAUGUGAGUCGUCCGUGUGGAUCUUGAUUUGAUAUGUUAGCACACUACUAAAAAAUUGGUCUAUAGUAAUGGUUGGAAAACCAUCCCCAUAGACUGCCAAACCGUUGCCGUAGGGAUUUUGGAACAGUUUACCGCCCGUUACAUCAGCCGGCGUACUCAUAGGUCUACUGGAACGGUUCUUGCAACAGUUUGCAUCGCCGGGACAAUAGAUAUGUCUAUCACAACGGUUUUCCGCUUCUCUGUUGGAACGAUUUUUUUUUUCAAUUGGAACGGUUUAAAACCGUUACUAUAUUGUUUAUACCACGGUUCUUAACCGUUGCCAUAUUAUUUAAAGCAAUACUUAUGUAAGAUAUUGCUACGGUUAUGUUAGAUAUAGCAACGGUUUCUUUAAGCUAUCGUAACGGUUAUAUUUGUAUUUGGAACGGUUUUGUAGAUCAUUUUGGAAUAGUUUAUGGGACCUAUUGCAAUGGUUUACAUUGUCUACUGGAACACCAUUUGUAUCCUAUUGCAACGGUUCAGGUAGGCUAUUGUAUCAGUUCAAUUAAAACCAAAAUAGAGCACAUAUUAUAAAUAAAAUUUAUACAUAUAAUAAAAUUAAAAUUUAAAUACAUCAUAAAAUGAAACUAUUAAUAAUAUAAAAUUAUCCAUCAAGCAAAUAAUAAUAUCCAUAAAGUAAAUGUUCUGCCCCAUGAGUGCAUAAGUAUAGUACAUUUCAAGAGGUUAAAUAAGUUUCAAAAAAUGUUGGUAACAAAAGAUUCCUAGAACAUUCAUCUAUAACAAUUCAAAAUUAUCUCAAGUAAGGUAUAGUUCUUCAUCGUCUUCAUCAUCCAUUUCUUGAUUUACUCCACCUACAAAAAAGGAUAAAUAAAGUUAUUAUCCUUCAAGAGAAUCUGGUCUAAGAAUACUCAUAGCACAAAUUGCCAUGAAAAAGAGAGAGAGCUACUAUUACAGAGUGCAAAAAACCUUUUCUUAGUCAGUGUACUAAGAAAUGAGUUUCAAUAGCAGCAAGUUAGUUGUAGGCUUGUAGCCAUGUUUACUUCUCCUGUUUUGCUUAAGAAUAAACAUUGAAUUUACUUUUUAUGUCCAGGGUUUGAUAUAUAGCAUUAUUCAUAGCAUUUCUUCAAUCUACAAAAAAGGGCAGCUCGAUGCACUAAGCGCUAUACGCAGCCUUACCCUGCAUUUCUGCAAGAGGCAACAACUUUACUAGUUACGCCAAAGCUUUCCAUCAUGUCUUCAAUCUACAGACUAAACAAAUUGAGAUUUCCAAAACAUUUUCUAACCAUUUCUUAAGUCUAAGGAGAAACAUAUAUAAAAGAUUCCAACAACAAAAUGUGCAAGUUUAACAAGGUAGCCUCAUUAUUCUUAAGUCGAAAAUUGAAAAUGAACAAAAAUUAUAUGAACAAUAUCUCCUGAACAAUUUUAAGUUUUAUAAGUAAAAAUGAUUAUUUCACUCGAAAUACUUCUCAAACAAGCUUUUCAAUAUUUCACCAGUAUUUCAACUACCGAAAUUCAGUAUUUGCAAAUAUUAGACAUCAAUAUAAAGAUCAUGUUGGGAGUUGAAAACCUCUUCUACUUGUUUUCCUGCUAUCAAGAAAAUGCCUUGUGACAACUCAUAAAGUACUUUAAUUUUCAUAAUGCGAAAUUGUUUAAGAAAGUAAAUAUUAAAAUAGUAUCCUCCCCUUAUAAAAGGCCAGCAGUUUUAGCUAUCUCUGUUCUCAGAUCUACCUUCAUCCUGUCAUAAGACAAUACUCCAACAAAAAAAUGGAGCACAGGGCUUCUAAUUUUCUAUUCUUAUUCUUACAAAUAUUUUUGGGAUUUUCCCUUCUCGUUUCCACCAUCGCAGUUCCUUCUUCAAGUAAGUCAUAAAUAAAUUCAUUCCUAUUAUUGUUUCUUUUCAGAUAUUGCUAAUUUAAAUUCCUGGCAGAAAUUUGUAUCUUGUGGUGAUAAUUCACAGGAAGCCUAAAGACAAUUACAGAAAAUCUACCAUUCCAAGAUUCUCAUUACAAGGUUCUCUUUCUUCUAUCUUGAAUCCUAUUUACUACCGUAAUUUCUUUCCAUAACCUACUUGCUAUUUAAAAAAGUAGCCAAUGCAUUUCAAUGAUGUAAUCUUCAUUACAAGCUUGCCCUAGGAUAUGCAUUUGUAAAUGCUUAAUCCACAAAUCUUUUACAUAUGUUUUUCUUUAACUGAUCAAAAACUCGUAUAUGCAUUUGUAAAUGCUAAUCCACAAAUCAGAAACUAUAAGAAAGUUGUUUGUUCAGUUUGUAAGAGCCAUGUAUAUUAUCUCUCUAAAGUGUAAAGCCUUAACUUGUGUAAGAGAUAUGUGAACUUCAAUGUAAUCUCUGUAGCAGAAAAGGAGCUUUCUACAACAACUAGGUAGGUGGAUCUCUGAUCCAAUUUCAAUCAGUUUAGACAUAAUACAUAAACAUAUUGCAUGCAACAGAUAUAACAUUAUAGCAGAGACAGUAAACAUAUGAUAUAAAUGUCAAUAUAACUGUACAAAGACAUGAUAAUACAGCCGUAAGGACUGCCUAGUGAAAAUGGAAAAUAUGGCAAUUCAUAUCCCCUCUGCCUUGAACCAAGCAAAAUCCCAAGCAAGGAAGGAGGAGAAGAAGAUGUAUAACAUUUGGUACGUACUGACCUUGAUUGUUACUACCAGUAUACGGUAGACUGUUUAGUUGAACAGCAGCUUGUUGUGUAGAGGAAGCUUCUACAGGUGAACGUGCACUGAACCUUAACAUGUCAGGAUCAAGUCGCAAAUCUGGGUGCAGAAGCUGAAGUCGUGCGAUGACGUUUAUUGUAAUAUUUUGUUCCAUGGCAUCCUUUUGUUCGUUCAACUUUUCAUGCAUUCUUUGUUGCAUCCUCUCUCCCAUUUCCUCCAUUUUCUACUUCAUCCUCUCAUCAGACCUCGUCCAUACAAUCUCACGCGACCUGGAUGUUCAGGUCCCAUGACUGAUGCAAAAGCGUCAUCUGAAUGACUGCCAUCUUCACUUUCCUGAGUUGAUUGUAUUCUCUCCAUUUCAGCCUACAAACCAAAAAUGCGAGAAAAAUACGUUUUAAGUAACUAAAGUUGAAUCAAUAAUUAAGAACAAAUAAGUAAGCACGACAAACUUUAAAUUAGAAAUUUCGUACAAUUUUACUAAUCGUAUUGUCAUAUGAGCUUUUGUAUACUCGGCCAAGUUUUCUUUUUCAUGUAGCCACAAAUAUGUCCUUACUUGAUACAGUAUCUGAAGUAUCAGAGAUUUCCUUUUUUUCCUAGUUAUAUGAAAACAGGUAUAAGAAUCUUUCCAUAUAAAGUUAGCAAGUUCAUAAUUUAAAAAAAAAAAAGAAAGAUAAAACAUCAAACCUCGCGAAUUAAAGCAAAAUGUGUUCUGCCAGCAGUGUGCGGACACUUUAACUUAUUUCUAUUCUCUGUAUUGGUUUCAAACAUUUUCUGCAAAUAAAUGAGUCAACCAAUAGGUGAUUGAUUUACUGCAAUUGGGAAAGCUUAUAAUGGAGAGAGUGAGACUCCGUGUUUCAUACUCUCUUUUACAGUCUCUUCUUAUAAUAAACCACCCUAUCAAUUUAGUGGAACAUCUCACAACAACUGCAGUCACCACUGAUGCCCAGUUUUUGUUCCUAUUGGAAAUUUCUUUACAUUUCCACUUCUUUAUUGACUAAAAAGAAAUUGAUUUUGUUUUGUUAUUCCUUUUUCACUGUGUUAUUUAUCUUGUCUACCUUAUGAAAGAGGUCCCAGGUUAGUAUAAACCUGCAUCUCCAGUGGACUGACAUAUUUACUUGUUUAAAUCUGGGCAGAAAUUGGACAGAAACUUGGAAUUUUUCUGAAAAAUAUUCGCUAGCAUUUCGGUACUUUUUGGACGUUUAAAAGAAAAAGAAAAAGAAAAAGAAGAAGAAGAAGAAGAAGAAUAAGAAGAAGAAGAAGAAGAAGAAGAAUGAAAAUAAAAAGUGCAAAAGCAAAACAUACCUGUUGAAACUUCAAAGCUGUUGUUGUAAUGUUGAAGAAAAAGAAGAAGAAGAACCCUUACUCGACCAAACUGACUAGUAGUAGUACUAAUUUACUAUAGAAACAUUUCAAACAUAACAUGGCAGGGCGGAAGAUUGGGGAAAAGCAAAUGGUCAGAUUCGGUACUAUUUUACUUCUGAUUCUUUUGACUCAGACACCAAAAAACAAUUAUGUUAAAACAAGACAAGAGAUUCUAGAUGUAAUUACCUUGUGAGGAUCGGAGUUCCAAUAUUUAAGAAUAUCCUUAAAGUAAAAUUUCAGAAUAUCUACUGGUCUAUUCUCCAUUCGAAGCUCAUCAUUCUCAUAGGCUGUGAAGUGAGUUGUCUUCAAUUGACUCUUAUACUUUCUCCAAGCAAUACAAACUGAUUCAAAAACCCAUGGUUUCGCCUCGUCAAGAAUGUCAUAUUUUUCCUACAAAUUUAGUGCAAUUGGGUUAGUGUAAGAAAUAAGAAAUAUCAUCCAUGUUUAUUGGACAUUGGGAACUUCAUAUCUUGAUAUAUUUCCAUAUAUCAUCUUUUGUGUCAAGUUUCCUCCAAUUAAAUACAUUAAGAGGACAAAAAGUCCCACUUCUUGCCAAUGUGCCGAGGAAGCUAUCCAACUCUUUUACAACCUCUUUAGUAGGACCAACGGGUUGAUUAUACUCAUUUAGAAUCCUUUCUACCAUGAACCCUUGGCAUUUGAGUACGGCCUCUUUUUCUUUUUGGCGAGGAGGGGCCUGCAAUAUAACAAAACAAAGAUAAUCAUUAAUCACUAUUUUUAGUUAAGUUUAUGAUUAAAAUUUAUAUAUAUUUGCCUUGUUCCAUAAAUUGUUCAACUGUUUCAUGAGUGGUAGAAUCAUCAGAUCGUUCAUGUACUCCCUGUGAUGCAGGAGUGAUGAAAUCCAUAUUCCCUUGUUGCACUUGUUCAUGUACUCCUUGUGUUGCUGAAGAGGUGCGAUUCCGUGGCACUUGCUAGACUUGUUCUUGCAAUUGAGAUCCACCUUCGGAUUGUCGUUCUUCAUUUGCAUUUGACCUUAGAUCUUUCAAGGCUGUUUUUAUUGUCAAUGACGAAACCUUUUGGUUUCGCAAAGAUGAAGGUAAUCCACCUUCUGAUUGUCGUUCUUCAAUUGCAUUUGAUCUUGUAGAUUGGAAGGUUCUUUUUGUUAUCAAUGACAAAACCCUUUGAUUUCGUAAAGAUGCAAGUGAUCCAGCUGGAAUGCGGUUGGAUAUUUUCUUAUUUUUGCUUGAGCACCCUUCUUGAUUCAUGACUAUUCAAAUAUUUUUCAGAUUCU
rnacentral:lncRNA from 1 species